AGAGUUUGAUCCUGGCUCAGAUUGAACGCUGGCGGCAGGCCUAGCACAUGCAAGUCGAGCGGCAGCACGGGUACUUGUACCUGGUGGCGAGCGGCGGACGGGUGAGUAAUGCCUAGGAAUCUGCCUGGUAGUGGGGGAUAACGCUCGGAAACGGACGCUAAUACCGCAUACGUCCUACGGGAGAAAGCGGGGGACCUUCGGGCCUCGCGCCAUUAGAUGAGCCUAGGUCGGAUUAGCUAGUUGGUGAGGUAAUGGCUCACCAAGGCGACGAUCCGUAACUGGUCUGAGAGGAUGAUCAGUCACACUGGAACUGAGACACGGUCCAGACUCCUACGGGAGGCAGCAGUGGGGAAUAUUGGACAAUGGGCGAAAGCCUGAUCCAGCCAUGCCGCGUGUGUGAAGAAGGUCUUCGGAUUGUAAAGCACUUUAAGUUGGGAGGAAGGGUAGUAACUUAAUACGUUGCUACUUUGACGUUACCGACAGAAUAAGCACCGGCUAACUUCGUGCCAGCAGCCGCGGUAAUACGAAGGGUGCAAGCGUUAAUCGGAAUUACUGGGCGUAAAGCGCGCGUAGGUGGUUCAGUAAGUUGGAAGUGAAAUCCCCGGGCUCAACCUGGGAACUGCUUUCAAAACUGCUGAGCUAGAGUACGGUAGAGGGUGGUGGAAUUUCCUGUGUAGCGGUGAAAUGCGUAGAUAUAGGAAGGAACACCAGUGGCGAAGGCGACCACCUGGACUGAUACUGACACUGAGGUGCGAAAGCGUGGGGAGCAAACAGGAUUAGAUACCCUGGUAGUCC
rnacentral:rRNA from 1 species